AACGAACGCUGGCGGCAUGCCUAACACAUGCAAGUCGAACGAGACCUUCGGGUCUAGUGGCGCACGGGUGCGUAACGCGUGGGAACCUGCCCUUAGGUUCGGAAUAACUCCCCGAAAGGGGUGCUAAUACCGGAUAAUGUCUUCGGACCAAAGAUUUAUCGCCUUUGGAUGGGCCCGCGUUGGAUUAGCUAGUUGGUAGGGUAAAAGCCUACCAAGGCGACGAUCCAUAGCUGGUCUGAGAGGAUGAUCAGCCACACUGGGACUGAGACACGGCCCAGACUCCUACGAGAGGCAGCAGUGGGGAAUAUUGGACAAUGGGCGAAAGCCUGAUCCAGCAAUGCCGCGUGAGUGAUGAAGGCCUUAGGGUUGUAAAGCUCUUUUACCCGGGAUGAUAAUGACAGUACCGAGAGAAUACGCUCCGGCUAACGCCG
rnacentral:rRNA from 1 species